rnacentral:rRNA from 1 species
AAUGAACGCUGGCGGCAGGCCUAAAACAUGCAAGUCGAACGCUGUAGCAAUACAGAGUGGCGCACGGGUGAGUAACAUGUGGGAAUAUGCCUUUUGGUACGGAACAACGUUUGGGAACGAACGCUAAUACCGUAUGGUCCCUUCGGGGUAAAGAUUUAUCGCCAAAAGAUUAGCCCGCACUAGAUUAGCUAGUUGGUGAG